rnacentral:rRNA from 1 species
GAGCGGACAGAUGGGAGNUUGCUCCCUGAUGUUAGCGGCGGACGGGUGAGUAACACGUGGGUAACCUGCCUGUAAGACUGGGAUAACUCCGGGAAACCGGGGCUAAUACCGGAUGGUUGUUUGAACCGCAUGGUUCAGACAUAAAAGGUGGCUUCGGCUACCACUUACAGAUGGACCCGCGGCGCAUUAGCUAGUUGGUGAGGUAACGGCUCACCAAGGCGACGAUGCGUAGCCGACCUGAGAGGGUGAUCGGCCACACUGGGACUGAGACACGGCCCAGACUCCUACGGGAGGCAGCAGUAGGGAAUCUUCCGCAAUGGACGAAAGUCUGACGGAGCAACGCCGCGUGAGUGAUGAAGGUUUUCGGAUCGUAAAGCUCUGUUGUUAGGGAAGAACAAGUGCCGUUCAAAUAGGGCGGCACCUUGACGGUACCUAACCAGAAAGCCACGGCUAACUACGUGCCAGCAGCCGCGGUAAUACGUAGGUGGCAAGCGUUGUCCGGAAUUAUUGGGCGUAAAGGGCUCGCAGGCGGUUUCUUAAGUCUGAUGUGAAAGCCCCCGGCUCAACCGGGGAGGGUCAUUGGAAACUGGGGAACUUGAGUGCAGAAGAGGAGAGUGGAAUUCCACGUGUAGCGGUGAAAUGCGUAGAGAUGUGGAGGAACACCAGUGGCGAAGGCGACUCUCUGGUCUGUAACUGACGCUGAGGAGCGAAAGCGUGGGGAGCGAACAGGAUUAGAUACCCUGGUAGUCCACGCCGUAAACGAUGAGUGCUAAGUGUUAGGGGGGUUUCCGCCCCUUAGUGCUGCAGCUAACGCAUUAAAGCACUCCGCCUGGGGAGUACGGUCGCAAGACUGAAACUCANAGGAAUUGACGGGGGCCCGCCACAAGCGGUGGAGCAUNGUGGUUUAAUUUCGAAGCAAC